rnacentral:lncRNA from 1 species
UCUUAGACCACUAAAUUCUAAAGACAUCGAUCACUUCACAUGCAAGCAAACCCCACAUACCCACUAAUUAAUACAACUUAAAUUUACUCAGCCUUCUCCACCGGCUCUUCCUUGACAACUUUCUCCUCGGCAGCAUCAGCAGCUGGCUUCUCUUCCUCAACAGCUUCAGGCUUCUCUUCUUCCUUAACCACUACCUCUUCUUUAGGAUCUUCAGCCGCUGGUUCCGAUACCGGCUCCGGGGCAAUUGGUUCGGCAGAAGGAGCCUCAGCAGAGUCGUCAAUAUUCAAUUUCUCCUUAGUCUCCUCUACAAGUUCUGGCUCAGCAGUCUUCUCUACUGUUGGUUCUUCUGCUUCUUCUUUGGCCACAACAUCUUCCUUCGCCUCCUCCACCACCUUCACCUCCUUUGUCUCAACCUCAACUGGGGUGGUUUCAUCAGCUUCUGCAGCCUCAGCCUUAGGAACUUCACCAGAAGCCACAACAGUCUCUGCCUCCUUUGGCUCUUCUGCAACAGCCUCUGCCUCAGCUGCGCAUGCUGCUACUUCUGUCACUACUUCUUGUGCCUUAAUUGGUUCCUCAUGAGUUGUGUCCUCCACAGGGAGGGCUGUCUUUGCUGAUACAACCUGCAAGAUUAUUAUAUAUUUAUAGUACUCUCUAAUGUUAAUUAACACUUAAUUAAAGGAUCAAAAUCUCAAUUAGUUAUUACAUUUGCAAGAGAGAGCUUGAAUUGAUCAUAAGCACAAAUCUAUGUAAACUCUAGAAAUGAAAGGUGAGUUAAUACCUGAGCAGUGGCCAUGGGAAUUGAAAAGGUGAGGAAGAAAUUGAAGUAAAAAACAAGAAGACUGAUCAAAGAUAGGCAAACUUAAGAGUAAGAAAUGAAAAGAACAGAAGUCAAUGGUUGCAAUGAAAAAAUAUGAUCAAUUGGGAUUGGUUUAUAUAGAGGCCUAGAGGCCUUCUCUCACUGCCUUAGGUCGAUGCAUGAGACAGAGGGCCCAUGGGGUGGUGGAACUUGGGGAAUCUUGGGAUUUGACACCUCAUCUCUCUCUCUCUCUCUCUCUCUCUCUCUCUCUCUACAUUCAAGGGAUUGGGUAAUAAUGUUACACAAAAAGUUUUUGGAUCGAUCUUAGGUUUAAAGAAAAUGUCUAAAUUAAUUAAUGGCUAGUUGAAAAUUUGUAAUCUUUGGAUUGGAGGGGUAUCAAAUAAUGGAGGAGGCCAUAUUAUUUUUCCAUGCAAGCCAUCAUUCUUCUUUUGGUUAUGUGUGCUCCUGUGCUUUGUGCAGUCGGGCUUGCAGGGUUACAUUACCAUCCUGUCCACUCAUAUGCAUCUUCAAAUCUUAAUUAAGUAAUUACUAAUUACUUAAUUACAACUGGUUUUGCCUCUCAUCAUCAUUGCCCUUUUUCUGUUCCUAUGUCAAUUUCUACCAUGCAUGUUACUAUUCGAUCUACUUCAGCGUAUAGGGGUAGGGUAAAUAUUAUUUGGCAUUUUGCUUCCUAUUUCAAUUAAAUUCUUGCAAGAAAAUGAACCCUUUUUUCCCUUGAAUUAUUGACUAUAUACACCCUUGCAUUGCAUGCCAAGACAUUGUAGUUAUUAUUAGGCAUAUUUACCUCUUUUUUUAUAACUAUUUUAUGCAUCAGUCUUAAGUCUCUUCUCUAAAAUUUAAAAAUAACAGUAUCGUAGAUAAUAAAAGAUUAGACGAGCAUAACUAUACACCAAGAAUCAGUCAUCAAACUACCAAAGCAACCUCAACUUUCUUUUUAUAACAUAACAAUAUCGAGAGUAAUAAAAGAUUAAACAAGCAUAACUAUAUACAUCAGGGAUCAAUCAUCGAAUUACCAAAGCAACCUACCAUCUCUUCCCACAAAGCAAUUAGAGGGAACCUAGCUCCCAAUUGAAUGCCUCCCUCCCUCCCUCCCAAAACCUAGAAUUUAACAAGUAGACAAAUUGUGAAGAAUCAUGCUUAUUGCGUAACAUCAACGUCCAAGUCACUAAAAGAUACAAAACGUUAGGCCGGCGUUAGAUUAUGGGACCCUAACAACCAAUGGCCACAAUUUGCUUCUCAGAAUUGAAUAAAAUUCUGACGUGGAUCACAUCCUGAUAUGUUCCAUCACCUUGUCCCUCCUCUACACCAAGUGUGACCCGAAGCUAGCUGGUGGACCCCAAUUAUUAGGCGACAAAUUUUGAACUCUCAAGACCAAUUGUGACCUAACUUUCCCUAGCCUCCUUGGCUGAAUUGGAACACAGUCAUACAUGAUGCUCCUAUACGUAAUCAGCUCAAUUUGUCUUACAACAUUUAGGUGCCUCCACUAUUUAACGAACUAACAUUCAAUUUAGUAUAAAACCCCAAUUUUAACAUACUAAAAUUCUUAAUACGAUAUAUCAAAAGUUUUACACACACGUGAAUGACUAACAUGAACAUUCACGUGUACAAGUAAAAUUUUUAUUCAUUGUAUAUGGAGGUUAUAAAUGUGAUCUCUAUUCAUCCAUGCUAAAGUUUUCACUAAUAUUCAUGACAUUCUUUGUGUCAUUUGACUCAAAAACCAAGUGGGACAGUAAAAAUAUUCUUUCGAGUUAAAAAUCCAAGAACAAAUCUACCCCGUGAUCCAUGCAAUUGAAACUCCGUACGCUGGCAGGCGAUCAUGGCUUUGGGAUUUGCUUUGUAAACAUUUGCAACCAUGAUUGAAUAUCCUACCGUUAACAAAGUCCUACGUGCCGUUUCAUUCAGACUUUCAUGAGUUUGAGAUCCUUGUUAGGGCAAAGAGCCCUACACAAAAAAGGGUACCCUCCUCCCUCCUCCCUCCUCCCUCCUCCCUCCUCCAACUUUUCCAAGCUGUCAUGUAUGGACGGAUGACUUUUUAGCCUUUAGGUAGGUUUUUCAGUUUGGGCGGUGGGGUGGCCCACCAAAGCGGAGCCCGCAAAAAAUUCCCAGUACCUCUACUGUAUCCUAGUGCCAAUGAGGUCACGACACGUGGCAAACACUUUGCCGACUACGUGGUGGGAUGUGGCUCUCUGUCAGCAUUGGACAUGAUUUGGUACUACUUUAGGGUUCAACCCCAAUUCGGGGGG